rnacentral:misc_RNA from 1 species
UACGGAGGGUGCAAGCGUUGCUCGGAAUUACUGGGCGUAAAGCGUACGCAGGCUGUUCGUCAAGUCGGGUGUGAAAUCCCGGGGCUCAACCCCGGAAUUGCGCCCGAAACUGGCGAGCUUGAGUGCGGGAGAGGGAAGCGGAAUUCCUGGUGUAGAGGUGAAAUUCGUAGAUAUCAGGAGGAACACCGGUGGCGAAAGCGGCUUCCUGGCCCGACACUGACGCUCAUGUACGAAAGCGUGGGGAGCAAACAGG